UACGGAGGGUGCAAGCGUUAUCCGGAUUCACUGGGUUUAAAGGGUGCGUAGGAGGGCAGGUAAGUCAGUGGUGAAAUCUCCGAGCUUAACUCGGAAACUGCCGUUGAUACUAUCUGUCUUGAAUACCGUGGAGGUGAGCGGAAUAUGUCAUGUAGCGGUGAAAUGCUUAGAUAUGACAUAGAACACCAAUAGCGAAGGCAGCUCGCUGGGACGGUAUUGACGCUGAGGCGCGAAAGCGUGGGGAGCAAACAGG
rnacentral:rRNA from 1 species